UACGUAGGGCGCAAGCGUUGUCCGGAAUUAUUGGGCGUAAAGAGCUCGUAGGCGGCUUGUCACGUCGAUUGUGAAAGCCCGAGGCUUAACCUCGGGUCUGCAGUCGAUACGGGCUAGCUAGAGUGUGGUAGGGGAGAUCGGAAUUCCUGGUGUAGCGGUGAAAUGCGCAGAUAUCAGGAGGAACACCGGUGGCGAAGGCGGAUCUCUGGGCCUGAUCUGACGCUGAGGCGCGAAAGCUAGGGGAGCGAACAGG
rnacentral:rRNA from 1 species